rnacentral:lncRNA from 1 species
AUGGGAACACAGAAAUGCAAAGCAGCCCCUCGGUCCUUCCUGGGUAGCCAUGACCUGAAACACCAGAACAUGGAGCAGCUGAACAAGCCUGGAAAAAAGGUGUCUGCACUCCUGAAAGCUUCAACUUGUCAGUCGAACUCAAGGCCUUUCUGUGACACAGCUGCAGCCUCAGCCACAGGGAAGGUGGCAGAGCAUGGAUGUCCUGACAGAGCAGCAGCAUUGUCAUCAUUAAACACAUCCUGGUUCUCAGAGAUCAUUUAUAAAUCUGAAGUUAAGAAAAGCCUUUUAGAAGGAGAAGGUCCUUUUGAGCUUGCACACCAGUAUCAGAGUUUGUGUGAUUAAUCCUCUGUGUGGAUUCACACUAAGCCAGCACGUCCCAUAAACAGGGCUGGGAUAAAGUAUGUUGUUCUGCAGCUACUGCUGGUACAACAGCACCUUGCAGGGAUGUAAGAAAACAAAACCCUCCUGCUUUUCCUUCCUCUUAUGUUACGUGCUGUGAGGAGCUGGAAUAGACCAAGGGAUUAAUUUCAUAGCACUGUAAUUUAUUUGUCAUCAGAUGUGCACUCCCAGGCAGGACACGUGAGGCAGGACACAUGGAAAAUGCUGGCAAGUGCAUGGAGGUGGCAGGAGGGGUCUGGACCUUGGUUCCUACAAUUAGAGUUUAUUUCAAUUUUAAGAUUAUUUCUGUCCUAUCUCGGUGCAGCCAAUUCCUUUUUCCUAGUGGUGCUGCUGUCCCUCACAUGAGGAGAAGGGGUGAGGAGUGGAACAUGGCACCCCUUCAGGCUGUCAGGCUCCCUGAAGUGAUACCUGAACAGGCAGAUAUCAUUCCUCACUGGAUGUGAUACUAAUUAGUAUCUGUGAUUGCUUUAAAGCAGAUGAGAACAAAGGGUCUGUCUGCUACACUCUGCACCCUACACACAUGGAUUCUUCUCUAGUGCCAGAGAGUGGCUGGCAUCCACAGGAUCACACCAGCUCUGUGCUGCAGGUGGCCCAGGUGUGCUGCUGUCACCUGUGCAGCGUGUCCUGGCAGCAGAUGCCUUGCUGUGUUCUACCUGUUCAGUGAUUUCCUGCAUUCCUUGGGCUGGGAUUCACAGAGUGCUGUCACUGCAGAAUUAACUGUCCCAGUACAUCAGUAGGGCAUGAUUCAGACAGGUAAAAUGAUGGCCAAAUACACCCAAAUUGUACAUCAGUUACUUCUUUAAAAGUGGCACUGGACUGAGCUUAAUUUAUCAGAUGAUUUGGCACAGGACUUGGUAAAGGAAGAGGCUCUGAAGUUUCCCACUGCAUGCAGCAUGUCCUGGAUCAGAUUGGAAGGAGUGGGAAUGAGACACUGAUCACGAGA